rnacentral:tRNA from 2 species
GGGGGCAUAGCUCAGUGGGAGAGCGCCUGCCUUGCAAGCAGGAGGUCAGCGGUUCGAAUCCGCUUGCCUCCACCA